CAACGACGUUCAGGUUAUUGAUCAAGUGAUCUGUUGCUCAUUUGUUUGAGUCAAUUUCGAUAUCCGCACUUCUCAAACUAGUUUGGAUCUACUCAACCGUACAAGUUCAAAUAUUGUAAUUUGUUGUUG